AUAUAUCAACCUCUUCAGCUUUUGCUUGUUGAGUGUUGGAUGUGGGGGUCUUUUUUUGCUGGUCUUCUCAGGUCAGCUCCCCUGAAAUGCAUUAGCGGAACAAUUUGUGGACCGUUCAUUGGUGUGAUAAUUAUCUACGCUAUUGACGUGAAGCAGUUCAGCUUCAAACAGUCCAUUGACUUGGACAAAUUUUUAUUA
rnacentral:misc_RNA from 1 species